CCUACGGGAGGCAGCAGUGGGGAAUUUUGGACAAUGGGCCGAAAGCCUGAUCCAGCCAUGCCGCGUGAGUGAAGAAGGCCUUCGGGUUGUAAAGCUCUUUUAGUCGGAAAGAAAGAGUUGCAAUAAAUAAUUAUGAUUUAUGACGGUACCGACAGAAAAAGCACCGGCUAACUACGUGCCAGCAGCCGCGGUAAUACGUAGGGUGCGAGCGUUAAUCGGAAUUACUGGGCGUAAAGGGUGCGCAGCGGUCUUGCAAGUCAGAUGUGAAAGCCCGGGCUUAACCUGGGAAUUGCGUUUGAAACUACAAGGCUAGAGUGCAGCAGAGGGGAGUGGAAUUCCAUGUGUAGCAGUGAAAUGCGUAGAGAUGUGGAAGAACACCGAUGGCGAAGGCAGCUCCCUGGGUUGACACUGACGCUCAUGCACGAAAGCGUGGGGAGCAAACAGGAUUAGAUACCCUGGUAGUCCACGCCCUAAACGAUGUCAACUAGUUGUCGGAUCUAAUUAAGGAUUUGGUAACGUAGCUAACGCGUGAAGUUGACCGCCUGGGGAGUACGGUCGCAAGAUUAAAACUCAAAGGAA
rnacentral:rRNA from 1 species